rnacentral:rRNA from 1 species
CCUACGGGGGGCUGCAGUGGGGAAUAUUGCACAAUGGGGGAAACCCUGAUGCAGCAACGCCGCGUGAGCGAAGAAGGCCUUCGGGUCGUAAAGCUCUGUCCUAAGGGAAGAAGCAUGACGGUACCUUAGGAGGAAGCCCCGGCUAACUACGUGCCAGCAGCCGCGGUAAUACGUAGGGGGCGAGCGUUAUCCGGAAUUACUGGGCGUAAAGCGCGCGUAGGCGGAUAAUUAAGUCAGAUGUGAAAACUCUGGGCUCAACCGAGAGCAUGCAUCUGAUACUGGUUAACUUGAGUGUAGAAGAGGAGAGUGGAAUUCCUAGUGUAGCGGUGAAAUGCGUAGAUAUUAGGAGGAACACCAGUGGCGAAGGCGACUCUCUGGUCUAUAACUGACGCUGAGGCGCGAAAGCGGGGGGAGCAAACAGGAUUAGAUACCCCAGUAGUC